GUGACAAACGGAGAAGACUAGCACAGAUUUGCAUCAGCGUCAUUUUUCCUCCAUGGAGAGCCCUGAAGGAGGAGAUUGGACUGAGGUCUGACACAGAUGUUGUCUUGAUACUGCUGGAUAAGUAAGUGACUCUGUUAAAUCGAUAUGCGGAUGAAUGGAUGGGUGGAUGGUUGGUUGGAUGGGGGAAUGAAUUAAUUGGUUGGUUGGUUGGUUGGUUGGUUGGUUGGAUGGGGGAAUGAAUGAAUUGGUUGGUUGGUUAAAUGGAGGGAUAGAUGUUUGGAUAAAUGAAUGGGUGGAUGAUGGAUGAAUGGUCGAUUGUUGGGUUGAUGGAUUAAUGUUAGAUUAAUGAGUGGAUGGAUGGAUAGAUGGUUGGAUGGAUUGGAUGAAAGUGAAAUUCAAAUUCAUUUUACUUUUUUGAUAAUUAUUACCAUUAAUCACUGUUUUGUAGUUUAUUUGCAGUUAUUGCCUUUUCCAGUUGGAUUGUUUACCUACUGUUUGGCAUCAUUUCCAUUUUCACGUGAUUAUUUUACAAACAUCAUCUUGAGCCUGAACAAUGAAAUUUUAUGCAUAGAAACAAAAAACAUUCAACAGUAGUUCUCUGUUAUUCUAAACAGAGAGUAACAGAACCCGAUACUGAGACUGAAGAAAGCCUAAAGAAUCUAAUAUAACACAUUUCAAGUGGUGUCUGCAGCCAGCCACACACGUCAGAAACACAUAUCUAAGUAAAUCCCAUUUUAUCCAGUCUCCUGAAAGUGAAAUAUUUAUCUUGUCUUUUCCACGACGCUGCACAGUAGUUGACUUGCAUUUCUAAAUUAUGUAUUUAUUCAACACGAAUGGACGUAUUUGAAUGUUUUUUUUUGACCAGCCAGAUCAAACUGCUGCUAUUAAAAUGUAUGAGAAAGCAGGAUGGAGCUCAAAGGGGAUGACAAAGAGGUGGAUGGAGAGAUAGGAGAGAGAAAAGCAUAGAAGGGAGGGAGAGUGGAAGAUAUUAUUGAGCAGUUCCCACUGGACAAUCUCAAUAUAUCAUUUCGAUAUAACUCCAUCUUCAAAAUGAGAAGUCUCACUCAGUAAAUACUAGAAUGUAAUAUCGGUGUGUGUGAGAGUGAGCUUGUGGGACAAUUUGAUCUGCUGGUCUUUGUGUGCAUGAGGCCCUGUAAGCACAUCCAGAAUAAGAUUUUAGAAAAGUUUGUUUUCAAUCAGUUAGAUGAUUUUAUGACAUCUGUAACAUCUACUGAAUAUAUCAAUCUGGUUUCAGGACAAGUCACAGUAAAGAGACUUUGUCAAAAUUGCAAACAACAUCAGCUCAAACAUACAAAAAAUGCCCUCUGUCCUUGUAUGCUUGACCACUGAGCAUCCUUUCACAUAGUUGAUUUUAGAUAGGCUUUACAAUCUUACCAGCAUCUCUGGUACUGUUCCUCAAUGGUUUAUAUCUUAUCUUACAGACAGGAAAUUCUAUGUAAGCGUGGGGGAAUGUCCAAAACAAUACCCUGAAAGAUGCUAAAACUUUCUAUCAGCAAAACUCGCAGUUUGGUGAUAAAUUUGAAGGUUUGGCGAACAACCCUUAAAAACAAGACAAAAGCAUCAGCCUUUUGCUAAAAGUUGACCAGUGCAGCUUUGUUAACAUCACGUUACAACAGCUCUUUAGGGUUGUGUAUCUGAGAGAUUGAUUGGCUUUCUUUUUUGCUCUCUCUAUUUGCUCAUUUACAUUUCUAAUUUGAUGCAUGACUCCAGACUAGCAGGUCCAUCUCAAUGUUCAAUAGCUAACAAUAAGUAAAAUCAGAAAAAGUUAAAAAGAUGAUAUCUCAGUGGCAUGGUUCCCUAGCAACCAUUCAUAAAGCCCCGCCAGAAAACCUAAACCCAGCCAGAUUGCUUGGCUGGAACUUUGUUUUUAAUGAAUGCCCAGUUACACUUGGAAAAAGCAGAAAGGUGGGAGUGUGUCUGAACAAACACCAAAGCCUGCAGAGAGGAGAGGGAUCUCUGUGCAGGGACCUAAAAAUACUUUUUUCUGCUGUUUUGUCUCUGUGGACUGGAACGCAGACAGCAAAUAUGAAGCAGAUUACUCUGGGAUGUGCAGUUGGACUGGGGAUAGAGCAACUCAGAGGUGUUUGAUGUUGUGUACAACAAAAAAAAGACCAGCCUCACAAAGACACCUGGGUAUUUAAACCCAUGUUAUCAAAAACAAUGGUAGCCAUCUUUGUACUCAGUCUGACGUUUCCAUUAGCACCAGCCACAGUCUGUCAACUUCUGAGCCUCUAAAAACCAGAAAACACAUCAUAAAUACAAAAGUAGGUUUAUUCUAACUUAAAAAUUACCCACCGUGUUAAAACUCUGAGAGAAUCAUGUCUCCUCUGAGCAGUCUUGGUCUACUUCUGCUGUAUAAGUGGGAUGGCCGACUUUGACAAACUAGAGCUUGAUUUGUUACAAACUCACAUCCAAGGAUUUCUGACGUUAUCAAAAACUAAAAAUAACGUCACUGUUUUUAGUUACAGGAAAAAGAAGAGAUAAAUUACAUGUAGUCACCUGCUUUCUCAUUGUUGUAACCCUAUCUGCCAGCCAUCUUCACCAUUUCUCUGAAACUACUGCUGACAACACCUCAGUACUGGCAAGAUUUCUUCUGGUACAAACCAAACAUCCAUAAACGACAAAUCUGCUCUUGCUAUUUGAAUAACAACCACACAGCUGCACAUUGUUAUGUUUCUACAAUAAGAACUCAGAAAUAGUCCUUCAGAGUCCAAAAAUAGAAACACAAUCAAAGAGAUGAAAAAGUGACAGUAUAAAAAAAAGGAUCAGGACUUCUCAGUGUUUGAUCACCAAAACACUUUGCAGCCAUCAAAGGAUGAAAUGGGUAAAAAAGGCUUUAGAAAAGAAUCACAUAAUGAAACAACAGAAAGACAGAAACAGCCACACAGGCUUAAACACAUUUCACCACACACACACCAACCGUCUGGGCCGCAGACACUUUAGGAAGUGUGUCGCUGAUUGAGGCUGAUUGAGUGCACAGGCAGGAGGCCAACUGUUUGGGGGAAAUUACAAAGAUGAGUGGCACACUGCCUGUCAGCUUUUUUUGGGGGGUUGAGAUGCCCCGUAAUACACACUUCUACACACAGUUCUGCUGCAGUAACAGGACGGAGGCGAGAGAGAACUGAUAAAAGCUUAAAUUGUGAUGCAUUUCAAAGUGACUCAUUUUUCAUCACAUGCUGUAUAAUUGGGCUUCCUCAUCCUUCAUCUGGGAGAUAAAUGACGAAGUUUGCAGACUCAAUUCAAAGAUCAACAUGAGAGGCUGAUUAGACAAUAACAGACUAUAAAUUAUUCUCCCCGAAUAACGCCGCAGACUCUUCAAAUAAUAGUUCAAGUGUUUGAUGAGUCUUCUUAACUCUUUGAACACUGAAGAAAAAUAAAAGUAAAAAGUAAAUGCAUCACUUUUUGUGCUUAUAGUGAUGGGUUUUCUUUGAGUAUCUUCAGAAACCCUACGGAUACACUGACUGCAGCAGCCUGGGUGAUUCAGAAAAAGUAUUCAAUUCUGUCAGAGUUUGGCCCACCGAAUUUUGCUUAUCUUGGUUUUCUUCAGUCGCAUUUAAUACUUGAGCCUGAUUGGUUAAAACCAUGCCCAAUACUCCAAUAUCCAUGACUAGUGUCUCAAACUGAAAGUACCAAGGUAACAAGGCAAGGGUUCAAACAAUGCAAGACACACACACACAACUACUCUUGCUAGGCUGCUUCCCCACUUAAGAGUUUGGGAGUCGCUAAUAUGGAUUUUGGGAAACUGAUGAUUGGUCAAUGCUGUCAGUGAGAGGGGUGGAAACACCAGCGCUGAGGGGUGGAUGAUAACAUGUAGCUAACAAGGAGCCUCCAAUCAGCACAUACCCAGUUGACAGCAGCAAUGAUCCUCCAACAAAAAGAUGACCACUCACUCCCCCAUCAGCCAAAUAGCACUGAGUAGAAGAAAAGAAAAACAUGCACGACAAACACCACCACAACUUGGGAACCAUAACAACCACAAAGCUCAAGAAUUCUGGUUAAUAUCUGACCAUUCAGUCAGACAAAAGAAGAAAGGGUGAGAAAAAAACAUGCAGAAACCAGCUAAGGUUGUUAGCACACUGAGUGAAAACGUCAUCACUUAAAUUGAAGAAAACAGACAGGAAGCAGCACAGCAGGAGUUUUGGCAGGAUUGGACUGCUUGAACAAAACCUUUAGAUUACACUAGAUUAGAUGAGAUGAGAUUAGAUUCAACUUUAUUUAUCCUUUUGAGAGUUCCCUCAAGAAAAAAGUUGUAUUUCAUCAAAUUUUAUAAAUACAAAUGCUAAGUUAAAAGUUUAUUUAACCCACAAGUAGGCUAAUCAACAUGAUAGUUUGUCACAAACUGAUGAAGAUGAAGCCAAGGAAAGUUCAUACAACACUGGGAGGCCCACUGUCUUUCUCAUGAAAUGGCUUCAUCCCUUCAUUCUGCCUCCUUGUGUUCAACACAGCAGACAAAGUGCAACAGGUGCAGGGAUAUCCUGCCUUGAACUGGCAAAGUAAGAGGCUCCAGAUUCAAAGAGGAUCAUGUAUAAAACAGUUUCUUUAUCUUAUUGAUACCUAGGAUCUUUAAAUCUGUUUUCUUCUUUUUUUAUUUAAAACAAAUCCCUUAGCAGUUUUAUUUUCCCUCCUGACCUGUAUUUUUUAACACCUUUCCUUCUUUAGUCUCCAUCCCUUAUUUUCAGAGUAAGAACCAGAGGUAGAGGAAAGAGACCACCUCCUUACAGCAGAGAGAGUAAGCGCUGUCCUCUGGGGACACCAGGUAAGGCGCCUCCGGAGGUUGUUGUAGAUUUCCGGCAUCUUCUCAUUGUUACAAUGCGACAUCUUAUUCUAUCAAAGGUGCUGUAAACACUUCUGUUCUGCAUUCUUCUCACAACCACAGACCCAGAAAGUGUGCUGAUGUCAUCAUCGUUGUGUAACGUUUUAGAUGCGAUGGGAAGAAAGAAGGCUACAGAGAGCAAAGAGUGUGUAGGAUGUGUUGAAAGAACAGUGAGACAUGGUUGAUGAAUAUUUUAAAGGUCUUCUGUUAUGUGAAGAAGAAAAAUGGAGACACGGGAGGCUCUCAGAGAAAUCAGGACAUGAAAACACACACAGAGAUUCAAUCCCCAGGUGGGGUAAAGUUUGGAGUGAUUUCCUACAUGUCUCACUCUCAUUUUAGUAGUUAUGAUUGUGUUUUUUCAUACAUUACAUAAGAAGUUGUACAGUUGACCCAAAUUUGUUGUGACAACUGUUACAUUAGGAAAAAAAACAGAGACAAACACGAUAAGGACAGUAUUAUCAUCUUUGCCCAAGAUUAGUGUGUGGUGUUCAAACAAAUACAAUAGCUCCACCAAACAUCAGCACAGCACAUAUUACAAAGCCCUGACCAGAUCAUUUCUACUUUUAUGUCGUUUCUGUAGUUUACCAGCAAAAGCAUUCAUCAGUAUGUGCCUUUUCUGCAAUAAUUCACACAGCCACAGAAUAUGACAGAGAACAGCACAAAGAAACAUGUUACAAUAAACCACUGACAUGAUACGAGAGAACACCACAAUACCUGACCCCGGAUCACCUUACACUAAGGGAGGAUCAAUCCAAAAUUAUUGAUCCCCAGUACAUUAAAAAAAUGCCCAGGGGGACUAUGGCCUCACUGAUGAGACCAGGAUUUAGAGAUCAUUUAUUUCAAUUUCAAUUAUUCAAUUAUUUCAAUGGACCGGGAAAUAAGUCCAUCUUUGCCUCUACCUUCAAGAAUAGCAUGUAAAAGAGGACUGCACACAGCCAUAGAAGAUAUAACAAUAAUCACCAUGGAUCUGCAAGUACACAGCUUCACCACAGCACACACCACAAUAACAAAAUCCGCAUGAAAAGAAUACAGCCCCACAAACAGCCAUGAUGGACACAGUAUCAGUAGCUAAAAGAGGAUAUGAUCAUGGCUAUGCAAACAGUCACAGAGCAUGACCGUUGCUUUAAGUUCCCAUCAUAACCAUAAACUUACAGGGCUUUGACUGAACAAAGCAACAGAGCUCAUGUCUGCCCAACCCUUGGGUUUGAUGAGAGAGAGCCUCAAACUGUCACAGAGCAACGCUAAUAGGCCCACUGUUACCUCUUACACACAUGAGAAAUAUGCACUCCACUCAGCUGGAGUGCAUAUUUCUGCUGGCCUAUUUCAUAAAAAUAUGCAGUGAAAAACGUCCAGCACACAUGCUCUUAAAUUAACCUUAUGAAAUUUUAAAAUAGCACUGCACAGAGGAACAGAGAACAUUACUGUGACUUCACAUCAGGAGCUAUCAUGCAAAAAUAGUUUCACAAGUUUGCCAUGAAGUGAGCGGUGGUCACAGAGCAGACAGCAGCAGCCUUGUAGAAUUUCUUAAUGAGCAUUUCACAGGCUACAGUCAUUAAGAUUAAAUGAGUCCUACCUCCAUGAGUUCAACCGUCUCCACCACAGUAUCAGUCCACAGUCAUUUUGACGUUAGUCUCUCGAGGGCCUUCAUUGAGCACCUGGGGCAAAGCUAAACACACGAUAAAGUGGAGGAGCUUUUAUCACGUCGUCUCUUGAGUGCAGGGUAGAGUAAGCCAAGCUUGUCAAUUAAUAUGCACAAAUAAAUGAGUGACACACCAGGGUUGCAGGCUGUUUUCCCACACAGUUCUUCUUCAAUAAACACACGAGCGUCCCCUCCGCUCACGGACAUCACUUGGCUGGGAAGCAAAACAUCUCAUAACAUCAGCCGGUUGAGGAAAUCUUAAGGUUUCUCGUUACGUACCGCCAGUUUUCUACCACUAUUAGCCACAAUUCUGUGUCUCCAAAUUUGGUCAAGUGUUAGUCAUAAAGGACUUCAGUUCAAGUCUAACAUUUCGGUGUACUCUGUUGUUUACAGCCCACGCUAUCAUUAGCACGGUUAGCUUACAGGUGCAAGCGUAACCCGUAAUUACCCGCUCUGGAACGUUCGAAUUUUCAUCAAUAACUCCGUGGAAUCAUGGGAGAAUGAGUCUUUAUUCGUUUAUCGAAGACGGCAUUUAAGGGAUUCGGGCUUUUAAAAUACCCUGCGACUAUUUAAUCUAAAAAAAAAAAAAGUGUGUGGUGUUCAAACAAAUACAAUAGCAUUAAAAUUGUUUUAAUUUUACAUCUAUACACACCUCCUUAAAAUAGUUUUUAAAAGCAGCAUCUCAGCAAAAAAUCAAGUAAAAAUUAGUGUUUAAAAUGCUUGAUAUUUUUAUUUGAUUACAUUUGACUUCAAUGCGUAUAGUUUUAACUUUGGAAUAUAAGUUGCUUGACUGAAAUAUCCUUUUGAAAUAUACUCAACUUUUUUUUCCAGUUUUAAUCAAUUAAUCCCAAAUUAUGCGAAUGAGUUGUAAGCUAUGUAAAUAUUACUGCUAAAAUACAUCUUUGUAAAUAUAUAUAGGAAGAACAAAAUAUUAUUUACACUAGGCUAUUUGAUGCAAGUAGUAGAAUUUUCAAAUGGAUGUCCUUGUGGCUUUUAGUGCUUUUGGAGCCAGCCUUAAACAGACACUUGAGGAGCUGCAGCUUUUGGCACUUCUGCAUUGGACUCAAGAGGCUGCAGCUUGGUUAUCACAGACCGGUCUUUCCAGCACUUUCAUAAGAAGCUCUGACCACCAGAGGACAUAAAUAAAG
rnacentral:lncRNA from 1 species